rnacentral:rRNA from 1 species
AAGCGUUUGAAGUCAGUCGCGUCUGUCGGGGUUCAGCCUGGCUUCUGCCUGGUGUAUUCCCCGUCCGACGGGUCAGCAUCAGUUUUGACCGAGAGAAAAAGGCUUGGGGAAUGUGGCCAUCUUCGGGUGGUGUUAUAGCCUCUUGUCAUAUGUCUCGGUCGGGACUGAGGACUGCAGCGCGCCUUAUGGCCGGGGUUCGCUCCCUCGGUACGCGCUUAGGAUGCUGGCAUAAUGGCUUUAAGCG